CCUACGGGUGGCAGCAGUAGGGAAUAUUGCUCAAUGGGGGAAACCCUGAACCAGCAAAGCCGCGUGAGGGAUGAAGGCUUUAGGAGUGGAAAAUCCUUUUGGUAGAGAAGAGAAUGACGGUAUGUAACGAAUAAGCACCGGCUCACUCCGUGCCAGAAGCCGCGGGAAUACGGAGGGAGCAAGCGUUAUUCGGAAUAACUGGGCGUAAAGCGGGUGUAUGCGGGGUAAUAAGUCAGAUGUGAAAACCUGUAGGUUAACUACACAACUGCAUUUGAAACUGUGACUCUGGAGUGUGCGAGAGGUAGGUGGAAUUCGUGGUGUAGCGGUGAAAUCCGUAGAGAUCAAGAGGAAUACUCAUUGCGAAGGCGCCCUGCUGGACCAUUACUGACGCUGAUGCACGAAAGCGUGGGUAGCAAACAGGAUUAGAUACCCCUGUAGUC
rnacentral:rRNA from 1 species